rnacentral:rRNA from 1 species
GACAGAGGGUGCAAACGUUGUUCGGAAUUACUGGGCGUAAAGCGCGUGUAGGCUGCUCGGAAAGUCGGAUGUGAAAGCCCUAGGCUCAACCUAGGAAGUGCAUUCGAAACUUCUGAGCUUGAGUAUCGGAGAGGGUCGCGGAAUUCUCGGUGUAGAGGUGAAAUUCGUAGAUAUCGAGAGGAACACCGGUGGCGAAGGCGGCGACCUGGACGAUUACUGACGCUGAGACGCGAAAGCGUGGGGAGCGAACAGG